CAGAAAGUCAACUAGAUCCACAAAGCUGCUUUGAUUCUGUGGGGACAAUUGGAAAAAUUGUAUGGGAACUCCUACUACCAUAAAUAAAUAAAGAAUAUCACCUAUGCCUAGAUAAUGUUUAUGCUAGUAUACAUUUAUUUAAAGGGACUGCAUAGUCAUUAGAAAAAGGGUUGGUGACCUAAACAGUUAUUUUAGCUGAUGUGAGGAAUACACGUUUGUGAUCUUUUAACCCCUUAAGAACGGCGGGCUUUCUAUGCCGUCCUUUUUUAAGCGGUCCUAAACUUACCGGGUCCCUGCCGUUCCUCCGACUGCAGUCGUGAUCCUGGGGUCUGCCCGAUCCGCUCCCCCCC